rnacentral:rRNA from 1 species
GUGAGGAAUAUUGGUCAAUGGGCGGGAGCCUGAACCAGCCAAGUCGCGUGAAGGAAGAAGGAUCUAUGGUUCGUAAACUUCUUUUGCAGGGGAAUAAAGUGCAGGACGUGUCCUGUUUUGUAUGUACCCUGAGAAUAAGGAUCGGCUAACUCCGUGCCAGCAGCCGCGGUAAUACGGAGGAUCCGAGCGUUAUCCGGAUUUAUUGGGUUUAAAGGGUGCGUAGGUGGUUUGAUAAGUCAGCGGUGAAAGUUUGCAGCUUAACUGUAAAAAUGCCGUUGAAACUGUCGGACUUGAGUGUAAAUGAGGUAGGCGGAAUGCGUGGUGUAGCGGUGAAAUGCAUAGAUAUAACACAGAACACCAAUUGCGAAGGCAGCUUACUGGGAUGCAACUGACGCUGAGGCACGAAAGCGUGGGGAUCAAACAGGAUUAGAUACCCCGGUAGUCC